rnacentral:rRNA from 1 species
GAUGAACGCUGGCGGCGUGCCUAAUACAUGCCAGUCGAGCGAACGGACGAGAAGCUUGCUUCUCUGAUGUUAGCGGCGGACGGGUGAGUAACACGUGGAUAACCUACCUAUAAGACUGGGAUAACUUCGGGAAACCGGAGCUAAUACCGGAUAAUAUUUUGAACCGCAUGGUUCAAAAGUGAAAGACGGUCUUGCUGUCACUUAUAGAUGGAUCCGCGCUGCAUUAGCUAGUUGGUAAGGUAACGGCUUACCAAGGCAACGAUGCAUAGCCGACCUGAGAGGGUGAUCGGCCACACGGGAACUGAGACACGGUCCAGACGCCUACGGGAGGCAGCAGUAGGGAAUAUUCCGCAAUGGGCGAAAGCCUGACGGAGCAACGCCGCGUGUGUGAUGAAGGUCUUCGGAUCGUAAAGCUCUGUUAUUAGGGAAGAACAUAUGUGUAAUUAACUGUGCACAUCUUGACGGUACCUAAUCAGAAAGCAACGGCUAACUACGUG